UUGACCUCGGAUCAGGUAGGGAUACCCGCUGAACUUAAGCAUAUCAAUAAGCGGAGGAAAAGAAACCAACAGGGAUUGCCUCAGUAACGGCGAGUGAAGCGGCAACAGCUCAAAUUUGAAAUCUGGCCCUUGGGUCCGAGUUGUAAUUUGUAGAGGAUGUUUUGGGUACCGCCGCGGUUUAAAUUUCUUGGAACAGAAUGUCAGAGAGGGUGAGAGUCCCGUCUGGAACUGCGGUAGGGCCUGGGUAAAACUCCUUCGACGAGUCGAGUUGUUUGGGAAUGCAGCUCAAAAUGGGUGGUAAAUUUCAUCUAAAGCUAAAUAUUGGCCAGAGACCGAUAGCGCACAAGUAGAGUGAUCGAAAGAUGAAAAGCACUUUGAAAAGAGAGUUAAACAGUAUGUGAAAUUGUUGAAAGGGAAGCGCUUGCAACCAGACUUGUGUGUGGCGGUUCCCCCUUGCUUCUGCUUGGGCUACUCCGUCAUGUUCAGGCCAACAUCGGUUCCAGGGGUCGGUUAAAGGCCCUGGGAAUGUACCUACCUCCGGGUAGACUUAUAGCCCAGGGUGUCAUGCGGCCUCCCGGGACCGAGGAACACGCUUCGGCGAGGAUGUUGGCGUAAUGGUUGUCAGCGACCCGUCUUGAAACACGGACCAAGGAGUCUAACAUCUAUGCGAGUGUUUGGGUGUCAAACCCGUGCGCGAAAUGAAAGUGAACGGAGGUAGGAAGCCUUUAGGCUGCACUAUCGACCGAUCCUGAUAUUUAUGGAUGGAUUUGAGUAAGAGCAUAGCUGUUGGGACCCGAAAGAUGGUGAACUAUGCCUGAAUAGGGUGAAGCCAGAGGAAACUCUGGUGGAGGCUCGCAGCGGUUCUGACGUGCAAAUCGAUCGUCAAAUUUGGGUAUAGGGGCGAAAGACUAAUCGAACCAUUGCCACGACAAGCACGACGAGAAACGUGUUGUGCAGUCAGUUACUAGGUGGUUAAGUGUAGCCUAAAAGUGGCUGCAAGUGCCUGAUUCUGGCGCGACACUGCUAAAUUGCGGGGACAUCCUAAAGCUAUUGUUACCAAGCUGACCUCUGAAAGGGGGCGGUGGCCGGGGUAAUGACCUAGGGUAUGGUAAAAACACAAUAGAUGUGACAAUGGACAAUCCGCAGCCAAGUCCUAAGGGCCAAGUGCCUAUGGAUGCAGUUCACAGACUAAAUGGCAGUGGGCUUCAAGGCACCGAGCUUGGGGCUUAAGAUAUAGUCGGACCCCGGGGAAAGCCCGGGCGCAUACGCUAAAUCUGU
rnacentral:rRNA from 1 species